rnacentral:rRNA from 1 species
UGUGAACUUCUUCUAUCUACCUACGGCGGACGGGUGAGUACACGUAGGCACCUGCCCACAAGACAGGGAUAACUACCGGAAACGGUAGCUAAUACCCGAUACAUCCUUUUCCUGCAUGGGAGAAGGAGGAAAGACGGAGCAAUCUGUCACUUGUGGAUGGGCCUGCGGCGCAUUAGCUAGUUGGUGGGGUAAAGGCCUACCAAGGCGACGAUGCGUAGCCGACCUGAGAGGGUGAUCGGCCACACUGGGACUGAGACACGGCCCAGACUCCUACGGGAGGCAGCAGUAGGGAAUCUUCCGCAAUGGGCGAAAGCCUGACGGAGCAACGCCGCGUGAGUGAUGAAGGUUUUCGGAUCGUAAAGCUCUGUUGCCAGGGAAGAACGUCUUGUAGAGUAACUGCUACAAGAGUGACGGUACCUGAGAAGAAAGCCCCGGCUAACUACGUGCCAGCAGCCGCGGUAAUACGUAGGGGCAAGCGUGUCCGAUU